GGUAAAUCAUUCAUUUUACUGAACGGAGACAACCCUGGGUACUAAUUAGAACGUGGAACACUUGGAACACUGUGUAACCAUCCGAAAAACGCAGACUAAUUGAAUGUUCCUAGGUGGCCGCCAUUUCGUGCAUAUGAACGCACGUGUUGAGAACAAUGGACGGCAGCCAUCUUGGCUCCUUAACAAGGCCAGCGGGACUUGGUCGUCGAGUGCCUGGAACUGUUUUGGGCAUAGCACUCGCACGAACACCCGGUGUCUAUGGAAGUCCCAUACGUACCACUUCCCCAUACGGUAGACAAACGGCGUUCGGGAGUUUCAAAACACACAAACAAGAGGAGCAUUCUACAUG